UGAGGACUGUGAUCUUUGCUGUCCAGAUCCAAAGCUCAGAGGUCUUGGCACUCUUGGGUAUGGGGUGGGGGAUAAUGUCAGCGGUCAGCUUUGCUAUUUGGAGGGACUUGGGUGAUGAUGGGGGGCUCGAAGCUCCUCUGGCAGAGCCAACACACAGAUUAGACUGAAGGCAGAGGGGUUGUGCCCUGCGAUGGGUAAGGGCAUGGGUACAGGGGUUUGCCAUUGGCUCUGCACCUCACUGCGUGACCAAGGAAAGUCAGCAGCUCCUCUGAGCCUCAGUUUUCCUCAUCUGUAAAAUGGGAACGAUAACAGCAUGAUGGCAUUCUGUGAGCUAAAGCACACGUCUUUGAAAUAGGAUUGGGGACAUAGUGUAGAGUCCGUUCAUUUUUAUGAUUUGUUGUUUCUUUGCGAUUCAAAGGGGGAGAUGGGGAUUGCAUUCAGGUGCAUGGCUAUAACUGGGCAGUGGAUAGAGGUGCUCUUGGCCCUGCCCAGGAGCCAGUGGUCCUGAGCACUAGGAAGGCAGAGCAGGCGGCCCUGGGAAGCAGAAGGCCCAGGGCUGCCCCCCAGUAUCCCCCACCCAAACCCUCGGGUCUUGCCUUCCCAGGAUGGUGGGGUGACUGCUGGCAUUUUUCCAGGGGCUCCAGGACACCCCUGGGACCUGCUGCACACCUGCUCCUUGAAACUCUUGCCACUGCUUUGACAACAGAUACCUCGGCCCGCAGCCCUGGAGGUGGGGCCCAGGACGGUGACCCAAGCAGCUGACGAGUGGCAGAGCAGAACUGGACUGUCCGACCCAGGUUAUCCCCACCUGGCAUUCUCACUGUAAUUGCUGUGUGGUCCUCCUACCAAUGGGAGUUGUGGGUGUUCCUGCCUGAGAGAUGGGGAGACAGACCCAGCUGGUGAGAACCCAGAUCCAGACUCCACCUGUUAGGGUUCUUGUUUGGGGAGCAGGGUCUGUGUAGUUCUGGGUGGUCUUGAAUGCACUUGUAACCCAGGCAGGUCUCACACUCGUGGUGCCCCUGCUGCCCCGGCCUCCCAAGUACUGGGAUACAGGCACGCACCCCCGGUGGGCUUCCCGUUAGACUCUGAAGCUGCCUCUCAUCUACCUAUCCACAUUUCCCGCUUUUUGGGAUGGUCAGGCGGAAGGUGUCCAUUUAUUCUGCCUGGCCUUUGGGGUGUGCAGACUUCUCCCCAGUCCGCUUCCCGCCAGGAAAGCUGGGGUGGGGCAUACAGACCCGGAAGCCUCCAGUGGCAGGGAAGGGCUCAGUGCCACCUGGCGCUACCUCCCCAGGCCGGCUGACGGCUUGUUCCUUCUUAGCUGUGCUCCAUGCUUGGAGCCAGGCCUGCGCACAGGUCAGGGUUCGCUGGGCCCGGCCUGGGGUGGCACCAACGCUUGGGCGGGCAGGGAUCUGACUUUGUCCCUGUCUCUGACUCUGCAGGUCCUGUAUGACUCCAUGCUGAUGUCUCUUUCUGUUCUUUUGCUAUAAUAAAUCUCAGCCCUGGUGUGGCCAAAGCUGGGUCCUGGGAGUCCUCCCAGCCGAUCUGCAAACCCGGGGGUGGUCAUGGGGACCCCUGAGGCAGCAGUGGCUGUGGUGGGGGUCACCAGAUUGACACUGACUCACUGAAAUAUGGCAAAGCCAUUGUUUGGCCAGUCCUGAAUGUGAGGUUCCCAGCUGCCUGAGGGGAAGCUUCCCGGCUCCUGGCCUCUUCCCACUCCUGGUGGGGAGCAGCCGGCCCUGGCCCGAAGCCUGGCAUUCAGGGAUCCAAGUGGCUCAGACUGGACCCCGUGCUGAAGCUGGGUGCUCUCUGCUGGGAGCUGCUUCUGCUGUGCUACGUGAGUCCCAUCACGGUCGGAGAGCACUCGGACUCCAGGACCUUGGCGGAUCUGAGCUGCACCUGGGUGGGGCUGGGCAUCACCGCUGCUGCUGGACUGCCCGCUAAAUGCCCAGGGCUAAAGGGCUCUCGUGCAGCAAGGACUUCCGUUGGCUUGGAUGCUUGCCACUGUCCGGCGUGUAUGGACAGAGAGACCUCUGGGGGAGGCACAGGUCAUACAGCGAGGUGGAGAAAAUCAUGACUUGCUGGAUUCUAAAACUGUCCACCGUGUCCAGUAGAACAUUUUAAGCCAAGCCAGAAUGCUCAGGUGUUGUGGUAGACGGGGUCUGAGGUUGGCAUCGGACACUGGGAGACUCUCUGCCGCCUCCUGUGAUGUUGGUAGGCGCCAGGCAGAGCCCUCAUGAUGGCACAGAUGAUUCUCUCAUGGUCCUCUCCGCUCAUGGACAAGGCUGUUAGGCAUUGCUCAUCUUCUGCUGGAAGCCUAAAUGUCCGACUGGACAUGGUAGAUCCCACGCCUAUAAUUCACUGUGUAGCCCAGGCUGGCCUCAAACUCGCAGUGAUCCUCCCGCCUCAGCCUCCCUAGCACUGAAAUUGUAGGUGUGUGUCACCAUGCAAGCCUCCAUGACUUUUGAAGGACAUUUGGAUAUAAACCAUAACAACCAUUAAAAAGGGAAGAAGGUUGGGUUCAUAGCUCUGGAAGAGCAUUUGUCUAGCAUGUGUGAGGCCCUGGAUGAGGUUCCCCAGCAUCAGGAAAAACAAAAAAUAAAAAGCUUUUCAUGAAAGUGACAGGAAAAAGUGUUUUUUUACCAUUCGUGUAGAAAAAAAAAAGGCACUGUUUACAGAUGUUUUAAUUUAGUUCUAGCAGUCAAUUCUAAUUCUCCACAGUGCAGAACUCGCCCUGGGGAGCCAGGAGCGUGCACGGCUGUGCAGGGGAGCAGGCA